CGGUGGACUUUAACCUUGGGCUGAAACCACAGCGCUUUGUUUUCAGAGGUGCUUCCUAGGGCGCCGCGGCGGGGCUGGGGCCUAGCGGGGGAAGCUCGGCCGGAAUGUGGCCCAGCAGCCUCUCCACUCCCAGGCUGCGCUCCCGCCUGCCCUGGCAAGCGCUCAAAUUCCUCUGGGCCCGGCCGGAAGCCCUCGGUCCCUCCAAAAGUGCUUCUAGAAAUUCUAGGAAGGAGCCGAGGCUCCUUGGAUGAGGGCGUCCUUGGAGCAAGGUUUCCAAACCCUCCCAUCCCAAGCCCCCGGCAUGUGCCACCCGCCGUUCGCAGUCGUGUUACUGGCAUGGUGAGGUUUUCGGGAGGCACCCAGGAAGGGCUGAAUGCUUCGGUUUCCGCGCACCUUAAGUCCGGAGCAAAACCCCGCUGGAGGUGGUUGGCUCCGAUCGCGUGCAUGGUUUGCUUGGCUGAUGUAAGACACCAGCGCGAAGGCCUGUUCCCGCCCCUCUGGCAGAGAUAAAUUAAGCGUUAUUAUUGCAAAUGCACCCUCUCUGGAUUUUCUCCCCACGACUGUUCCGUGUGUCAAAACCGCCGCUUCCACCAGGCAGCCACAAGGGCGAGACCAAUUACCGCUUUCCCCAUGGUUGUGCCAAAGCACGCAGCCAACGAGGGCUCCAAGCCGGGACCCCGGUUGAGAAAAACCUGGGGCAUCCGGCGGCACCGACGGUGGGAACCAGAUGAGCUCCCGCCUCCGCGCAUGGUGCCCACAGUCACCCCCCCGCCUUGGUCCUCCUAUGCCAAAAAAAAAAAAAAAAAAAAAGGCUCAUCAUGCGCCCGCAGAGGGCUCUGAGGAGACACGGGAUGAAGGCAGGGUCCGCGGAGAAGUGGCAAGCUAAAUUCUGAGAAGCCGCUUCGACCCUGACCCUGGCGUCGCCCCUCCGUAGUGCAGGUGGCACCAGAGUUGGGCUCGAGUGGACAGCUGCACGCCCAUCCCAGUCUCACCGAGCCUUAAUAAGAGGAAUGCCAGGCCCGGGCGCCCCUACCCCAAGGCGGUGAUCCUGUGAAGCUCGGGCCACCUCAGGGUCCAGCGCCCUCAGGGAUGGAUGGUGCUGGCACCGAGGGACGAGGCUGUUCCCUCUCUUUGGUGAACGGAGAAGUUCUUGGCGUGGUUCCCUGCGCAGUCUUGGGGUCCCCAGGCCGUGAUGGGGUGAGCAGGGCGUGCGGCGUGGCCCAGGAUGCGAGACCAGUCUGGAGCACCCCCGCGUGAGCGACGGGAAGGAGGGCCCGCCCGGAGAUUUAUGGUCGCAGCCGGCCCCCUGCGCACCGAGCGCGUCUCCGUCCUUUCCCAGCCAAACAGUGGAGUGGAGGACCCGACCCCGGCUGGAGGAAGAGGCCAGGGCCGGAGGCGGGGCCGAGAGGAGCUGGAAUCCAUCGGGGCUGGGCCUGGCGCUUCAGUCCCAAUUCUGCCCGCCUUGCGCCCUGGUCUCGGUGGGGUGUGGGGCGAUGGCGCCGCGUCCCUGGUCUUCCAGGCAGGUUCGGGCAGCUCCCGGCUGGGUUGGCCCGGCCGCGACUUGGCGCUGUAUCUUGGCGCUGUAUCGCGGCUGGGUCUGUCGCAGCGAGGGGACGGCGAACGUGGCUUUCCCGGGCACAGCCUCUCCGGGUUUUAGCCGCGCCCGCCAGACACGGGACCUGCGGAAACCGGAGCUUAAGACACCCAGCCACAUGGCCUCUGAGCGGGCAGUAGAAGCCGGCAAUCCCUCAGGGGGUGCCCUUCACCGAGAUGCCAGCGGAGAGUGGGGGGCUUCGGUCUCUGCCUGGAAAGACGGUUGGGGAGAUGGGUGAAGUGGCUCGGGUGGCCGCGCCAAGGAAAGGAUGCUGGCUUUUUCUUCCCCCGCUGGGGGAAGGAUAAGGGGAGAACAUGUCCAAGCGGCUAGCAACACCAGAAUUUGGGAAGAACCGGGUUCAACGCCGAAUUGA